rnacentral:lncRNA from 1 species
UAAGGUCUGGGUCGAGCUUUAGAUUACCACUUCCCUUGCACUUGCAAGGUUCAAGAGGACCCGAGAGCUAGCUGUUGAUUAUAAAGUUGCAAAGAGAAAGAAAUAAUAAAUAUGUUUCUUUCUAGAUCUCAUUCAUUUUGCUUAGUACUUUAGCUUUAUUUUUCUUUUCAAUUAGUGUGCAAGAUAAUAAACAGACAAAUAUAUCCUUGAU